rnacentral:rRNA from 1 species
UACGUAGGGGGCUAGCGUUGUCCGGAUUUACUGGGCGUAAAGGGCGCGUAGGCGGUCAGCACAAGUCAGUUGUGAAAUCUCCGGGCUUAACGUCGAAAGGUCAACUGAUACUGUGCGACUAGAGUGCAGAAGGGGCAACUGGAAUUCUCGGUGUAGCGGUGAAAUGCGUAGAUAUCGAGAGGGAACACCUGCGGCGAAGGCGGGUUGCUGGGCUGACACUGACGGCUGGAGGCGCGGAAAGCCAGGGGAGCGAACGGG